GUCUACAGACAUACCACCCUGAAUGCUCCCAAUCUCGUCUGAUCUUGGAAGCUAAGCAGGUUAGGACCUGGUUAGUACCUUGGAUGGGAGACCGCCUAGGAAUACUGAGUGCUGUAGUCU
ensembl:rRNA 5S_rRNA 5S ribosomal RNA